AGCCCAGAAGGUGGCUCAGUUGGUCAGAGUGUGGUGCCAAGGUAGAUUUGUAGAAUUACAGAAUUGUCAAGUUGGAAGGGACCCUGAGGGUCAUCUAGUCCAACCCCCUGCAAGGCAGGAAUAUUCUGCACAAUGCAUGGCUUGAACCCACGACCUUGAGAUUAAGAGUCCCAUGCUCUGCUGACUGAGCUAUCUUCUCAGUUCGUGGGUUCAAUCCCCGUGUGGGCCA